AGAAGAGCUGAUCAAUCUUUAAGUUGUGACAUGAACGGGCCCACUAGUGGGGAGCCACACGGGCUUUGGACUAGCCUCUGCUCUUCCUGUGUGAGCCAUUUGGGAGGGAAUCUGAUGUCUUCUUUAUUUCUAAAAGCUCUUUGCCAGUGCACUCAGAUUUUGUAGCAUGGAAUUGAAAUUGCAUAAAUCAGGGAGACCUGAAACAGCACCAGCUCUUCUGAAGCACAGUGUAACACAGAGAGCAGAG
rnacentral:lncRNA from 1 species